UCCCUUGUGGUCUAGUGGUUAGGACCCAGUCCUUUCACCUCUGUGGCCCUGGUUCAAUCCCUGGUCUGGGAA
rnacentral:tRNA from 1 species